rnacentral:rRNA from 1 species
GAUGAACGCUGGCGGCGUGCCUAAUACAUGCAAGUCGAGCGAACAGACGAGGAGCUUGCUCCUCUGACGUUAGCGGCGGACGGGUGAGUAACACGUCGAUAACCUACCUAUAAGACUGGGAUAACUUCGGGAAACCGGAGCUAAUACCGGAUAAUAUAUUGAACCGCAUGGUUCAAUAGUGAAAGACGGUUUUGCUGUCACUUAUAGAUGGAUCCGCGCCGCAUUAGCUAGUUGGUAAGGUAACGGCUUACCAAGGCGACGAUGCGUAGCCGACCUGAGAGGGUGAUCGGCCACACUGGAACUGAGACACGGUCCAGACUCCUACGGGAGGCAGCAGUAGGGAAUCUUCCGCAAUGGGCGAAAGCCUGACGCAGCAACGCCGCGUGAGUGAUGAAGGUCUUCGGAUCGUAAAACUCUGUUAUUAGGGAAGAACAAAUGUGUAAGUAACUAUGCACGUCUUGACGGUACCUAAUCAGAAAGCCACGGCUAACUACGUG